rnacentral:lncRNA from 1 species
GUCUUCUGGCUGUGGUGACCUGUCACUCUGAGAGGCUGGGGCAGAGAAAGAUCUUGAAGUGUAAUGUACCCGUUUUAGGCCUCUGUCUUGGCCUUGGGCUCAGGUUUUACCUUGUUCAUUCCCCAAACUUCCUGCCAAUGACUAACUUCCAAUAUGAAACCGUGCUCUGCAAGAGCCCUAUGAAACCCGAAAAAAAUUGGAAAUGGACACGGGGGCUGCUGUCCAAAAUUGUUAAGGAAAUCUGACACCCCACCCUGAAGAAAAAUAACAGGAGGCCCAAGAGCAAGUCAUCUCUGGGUUGUGAAUACCAACAAAAGAUAAUCAGAGCAAUGCUAUACAAACAGCCAGCUCUCCUCAGUGUUUGCCCCAACACCAACCUUCCAAUCAAGUUUUAGGGCAGUUUCAGCUGAAAUUUCUUCCAGUCAGAAAGACAAACACCAUCGCAGUGUUUCCUCCAGAGACUUCACAGAUUCUCCGUUUGAACUUAUACCGGUGAUGUGUUUUCUUCUCUUCACACGGACUACAUAUACCAGCAUCCCAAAGUCUCAGACAUUAGCAUGUUUACUCAGCUGAGAUUAUGGCUGCUUCUUUUUCUGUGGUAGAAGAAACUUCACCAUUAUCUCUGCUAAAGCUGAGAUUGCAUGAUAAACUUGGGACAUGAGAAACUUAUCAUCUGUCAUCAAAGGAGAAUAAUAGAGAAGGACAUACUCAGACUCUUCCACCAACUCUUCCUCUUAUUCUUUACUAGCCAACCCAAACUCUCUAGAAACAUUUUAAAACAAGGCAUAUUCUAAAAUGUAUUGACCACUUUAAAUUAUCAAGUUGUCAAGUGUAUCCUAUCUAAACAGAAGCUUCAGUCAUAUGUUCCCUACAACCUAAUAUUGUUUCUUAACCCCUAACACAGUUCCUCUAAAAGAAUAGCCCUU